rnacentral:rRNA from 1 species
UGAAGGCCAGGCUGAAGACUUUGCCGGAUUAGCUGAGAGGUGGUGCAUGGCCGUCGUCAGUUCGUACUGUGAAGCAUCCUGUUAAGUCAGGCAACGAGCGAGACCCACGCCCACAGUUGCCAGCGUACUCUCUGGAGUGACGGGUACACUGUGGGGACCGCCGCUGCUAAAGCGGAGGAAGGAAUGGGCAACGGUAGGUCAGCAUGCCCCGAAUUAUCUGGGCUACACGCGGGCUACAAUGGGUGGGACAAUGGGUAUCGACACCGAAAGGUGAAGGCAAUCUCCUAAACCCAUCCGUAGUUCGGAUUGUGGGCUGCAACUCGCCCACAUGAAGCUGGAAUCUGUAGUAAUCGUGUCUCAAAAUGGCACGGUGAAUAUGUCCCUGCUCCUU